rnacentral:lncRNA from 1 species
AUUAUUUAUAUUCGAAGAGAGGGCAUUUUCUUAAAGACUAGAAGCACUCUAGUGUUGUAAAUAUUUUUCAAACACCCGUAAACUUAGUGGAUACCCAAAGAGAACUUAGAGAGUGGACGUAAGCAAUGAUUCGCCAAACCACUAUAAAUUGUUUGCACUCUCUUCUCUCUUCUUAUUGCUUAUUUAUUUGAUUAGAGUGCAUAGUAAAUUUAUUGUUAAGUAAACUUUUAAUUGGUUAUUAAGAGUAGCAAACCUAUUCACUCCUCAUAGUUUGAUUUUUAGCUAAGAGAAAUAAAAAUGAAAAAGGUAUGUGAUCCAAUAGUUUUGAACAAUUGGAUCGUCAGCUUUUUUUAUUUUUAUUUUAUUUUUUCUCACUAAAUUUAGAAUCCAAACACAAUCUUAGGGUGUGAAUUUCGAAAUCUACAAAUAUAAUAUAGGCUACGUUCAUUUGGUGUGAAUUCAGUUAGUGGUUGCAAUUAAGGUCUCUUGUAAGUACGAUAUGAAUAAUGUUUGAUUCUUUUAUGUUGUCUUUUUUUAGUUCUCUUUUUUGUGUGCUUGAUUAGAUUAGUUAUGUAAUUAAUUAUAACUCUAGUUGGACUGGGGCAAAUUAAAUUAAUUGAUUGUUAGAUUAUUAAUUAAUUAAUAUCAUGGUUAUAUCAUUGUGUGACAAGGGUUUGAUAAAUUACCGAAGCAUUUUUAUCCUAGUGACUAUAAUAUCCGAAAGCUUAGGUUGCGUUUCGAAAGGAAAGAAAUGGAAAAGAAUGGACACUAAUAAUUUUCCCUUUUCCAGGUUUCGUAUCUAGUUUUAAGAAGGAAAGUCAGUCAAAACUUAUUUUCUUUCUUGUUUUGAAAUUUUCUUUUCACAUUUUCACCUCUUAAUUUUAUCUAAAAUUAAAUAAAAAUAAUUUUUUUUUUUUUUACAAAAAACAAACAAAGAGAAAUAUAUAGUUUUCUCUAGAUUCUUCCUUUUAAUUCCUUUAUCUAGUUUCUCUUUCUUUUUCUUUACACAAUUUCCAAACACAGGCUUAAUCAUGGGAGAGAGAGGUUGCUAGGUUGUGUAAUUAGCAAAAUUUCAUGACACGUCUUAUUUGAUGUAAUUUGGAGAUUUAGUUUAUCAAUUACAAGCAUUCGGAAAGAUUUCAAGCAUUCAAAAAGGUUUUUAAGUAUAUUCAUACAAGAUCAUGCUAACAGAGACUUGUAAGAUACAUCGUGGAUGAUAAACGGGACUUCAAGGGAUUUCGAGAGAUGACAAUCAUUAGAUCAUAGAGUUGAUAGAUUUUAAUUGUAAGAGUCUUGUAAUCAUCUGAACAUCGAGUUAUAGUGCAUGAUCUUUGUCCAGAGAAGGGAACACGUGAUUUUUCUUUCAUUCAAGGGUUUCCACGGUAAAAAUCUUGUGUAUUUCUUGGUUAAUGGGUUUGUUUCUUUUUAUAUCUUGAAUCUUACAAUAUUGCACAAAGUCGUGAUAUUCAUUUAAUAUUGUAGUUUUUAGAUCAUUGGGUAAAACAUAGACAAAUGUUAGGUUUUCUAAAUGUCAAUUACACAAAUAGAUACACAGUAUUAUUAUACAUAGAGGGAGCAAUAGCCCACAAGUAGAAGUUUCAGUUUCACCACACCCAUAUUAUUAACAGAUGGAAAUAUAUAUUUAUUCUUGAGAGGUACACACUGAUCACACAUCUACUGCUCCAUACCAAGUAAGCCAGAUAAUGGCAUUUAUAUCUCCAUUAUAUCACUUGAGAUGGUGGGUCUCAAUGUCUUUUGUGAUCUCAAUACAGAGGUCCAUCAAUUUGUUUGGCUCUUCAACAUCUUCUUUCGGCUUUUCAUAGUGAAAGUUCCAUGUCACCGAGGUGUUUUCCCCUUUUGUGUCCACAUGAACAACAAUCAUAAAGGUCUUGUACAGAUCCAUAAGAUCUCCUUCAACAACCUUGAAUGUCACGGACUUGGUUUCUUCUUCAGUUCUUCUAUUGCUUCAACAAUUUCCUUAGCAGCCUUCUCCUUUCUAUCUGUGGUUUUCAUCACAUUAAAUGCAACUUCUUAAGUCAAGCUAGUCAAGGCGUAUCCACAAUUUUAAUUUUGGGGAGCUGAAUAUAUAUAUAAAACACAUAAUUUGUAAAUUACACAUGUAAUAUAUUGGACCUAGAAUUUCUCUCCUAGGUGCUUUCAAUUGCUUGUAAUAAAACAUAAUAUUUUUAUGUAAUUUUUAUAUAUUUUAUAUUUUGAGUAUUUGUCUGUGAAUCCAACCCUAUAGUUGUAAUUUAAAGAAAUUCUGAAACUACGAGGACAAAAGUGCAAUUUUGUACUAGAGGAGGUUAAGAAGACUAUAAAUACAUGAGGGAGGCAACCCUAAUUGGGAGUAAGAGCCAACAAUAUUGUUUAUCCAUGCUCUUUGUGUACUUGAGAGAUUUUUAGAGAAAUCAUUGAGCUUCAUCUUUUCUCUUAAGGUGUGUUUAUCAUAAACUCAUCAAAUCAAGAUUUAAAUCCUUUGGACAUACUCAAAGGCGGAUAGAUUUAAGUUCAAUUCAUAGAUGAUUGUUGAUGAUUCAAUACUCAACCAUUAACUGAAGCGUAGAUCGUGGACUCAGUCAGUACUAGGAUCACAUUCACAUGUUCGAGGAUUUGACACCUAAGGCGCGUGAAUUUAGUUAGAUUGAGUUUGUAAGUUAUAACUUAUAUUUUGCAUAGUGGAUUAGUUGAUCGUACUUAGUUCCAGAUUUUUUUUUCUACUUUGAGAUUUUGCACGUAAAAAAUUGCUUGUUUUUGUGUGUGCUUGAUUUUAUAUUUAUUUGAGGUUUUUAUUUGUUUGGUUAAAUAGCUUCGCAAAUUCAUAAAACGAAUAAAACUAUAUUUUUAAUUUUACAAUUGGUAUCAGAGCGGGUCACUCAAAAUAAAAUAUUUUUUUAUUUUUUUUCAGAGUAUGGUCUGAUUGAUUUGUUUCUAUGUAUAAAUUUGAUCGUAAGAAGCUUGACAAUAUUCAACAAGCCUAUGAUAACUUUGUAAGGAGUCUUAUGAGAAGAACAAAAUUUAUGAAAAAUGUAAUGCAAAAGUGGAAUCACUUAAGAAGUCUUAAGAGAUGAAUAUAAAUAAGAGCUAAUUGAAGCUCAAGCUACCGUGGGUGAAUUGAAUCGUAUAAUGCUACUUUGUCUAAAAAAAAAAUUAUUAUUGAAAAAGAGAAAAAAUAAAUAUUUGAUAAGUUGAAUUUACUUUUUGAAAAACAUUUAAAACCUGACAAAGAUAUGCAUUUGUGUCUUGAGUCAAAAGAUAAUCUUGAGGAAAAAGUGGGUAAAUUAGAAUUUGAUCUUAGUGCUUCUAAUGCUACUCUCGAGAAGUUUAAUGCAGAUUCAAAGGUUUUGGAUGAAAUUAUUUGCGUGCAAAAAUUUUCUUCUGACAAGAGAGGACUUGGAUAUGUUGAUAAGCCUUCAUCUUCUUCCAAAUCGGGGAACAUGGAUAUUUUUGUGAACCCUAAAAAAUGUGGUUCCAAUCUUUCCAAGGCCAACCAAACAAAGGGAUCUCCUAAGAAAACCGUCACAAAUGUAUAGGUAAAAUCAUCUAAUUUUAAUCUUGUUUGCCAUCAGUGUAGUGUCCAUGGUCAUAUUAGGCAUUUAUUGAUUUAAUGAUUGUUUUGAUGAUAUUUGAUGAUGUCAAGGUUUCAUCAUGUAUGGUCUUAAUAUUGAUAUAUGCACAAAAUGUAUAUAUAUAUAUAUAUAUAUAUAUAUAUUAUUUAUCAUAUUAAUACAUAUAUAUUAGAUUCAUGGUAUGAUUAUGCGUAUUCUACAUUAGUAUUUUUCAUUCUAUUAGUAUUAUACACCUUCAAAGUUCAGUCGAUCAAAAUUGCAACUGAAACAAAGUUUGAUUGACUGAAGUUGACUUUUGGUCGGCCGAACUUUCGACCAAAAUUUAAAAUUUUCAAUCCUAACAGUCCAAAUCAAGUUCCAACGGCCCAAAUUAAAUUCUAAUUACUCUAUUACUAUUUCAACAAGUAGAUUUGCUAAGAUGGCUAUAAAUACAACCCUUAACUAGAUGCAAAUUAUGAUGGGAUGAAAUAGGUUUGAUAGGAUUAAUGACCAAUUAAAAUUCUUGUUAAAACUUAUACUAGCAAUGCACUCUCAAUUUAAGCAAAUAUAUAUAAACAACUUAAAAGAGGGGAGAGAAAAUAGUGCAAACGAUUUAUAAUGGUUCAACAAAUCUCAGCCUACGUCCACUCUCCAAACUUCUCAUUGGAAAUUCAUUAUCUUCAAAUUUGUGAGUGCUUGAAAAUCUUUAUAAAUACUAGAACCUUUUAGUCGUCAAGAGAGUCCCUCUCUUAGGAAUUUUACAAUUACUUAUAGUGAUCCUUUCAACAAGAUACAAUAGUUGAAGUGAUUCUUACUUACCAACUCUAGAUCAAGGAUAAAUACAAUCAUAUCUAGAAUGAUCUUGCUCACUUUGAUUUUUGGCAAAUCAAACUCACAAUAAAUGAACAAAUGAUUGAAGUAUUGAAUACAAAUGUUAUUAGGAUUUUAUGGCACUUCAAUACCCUUCCAACAAACCCAAGGAUUGAAUUAUAAGCCAAAAGUUAAAUAGAGUCAUUGCAGCAUGUAAUGCAUCUGAUUAAGCCAUUCUGAUUGAAUCUCAGCCGUUGGAUCUUGAUUUGGACUGCAGGAUUAAAAUGUUCAAACUUCGGUUGACCAAACUUUAAUUAUGGUCGAAAUUGCACUGAGAUUUCAGAGAUUAACUUUUCUUGUUUACUGAAGGGUUGGGGAACUUCGGUCGAGGUUUUGUAACUUUCGAUCGAACGAAUGUCAACUUCGGUUGACAUUGCUCUACAAUUUCAGUAAGCUCUUUAAUCUCUAAUUUGGCUCUUAACUGAUUUCGAUUGAUCGAAUCUUAACUUUGAUCGACUGAACCUUACCUUUAGUUAAGGUUGUACUAAAUUUUCAAUGAGCUCUUGGUUCCUCUAUUUUCACUUCAGCUAUGCUUUCUUAACUUCGGUCGACCAAUUGUGGACUUUGGUUGUAGUUGCUUUG